rnacentral:rRNA from 1 species
AGCAGCCGCGGUAAUUCCAGCUCCAAUAGCGUAUAUUAAAGUUGUUGCAGUUAAAAAGCUCGUAGUUGAAUUUCGGGAUCAAUACGUCGGUCGUGCUUCGGUACGUACUGGCGUCAUUGGUUUCUCCCUUCUGACGAACCAUGAUGUCAUUAACUUGGUGUCAUGGGAAAUCAGGACUGUUACUUUGAAAAAAUUAGAGUGUUUAAAGCAGGCUCACGCUUGAAUACAUUAGCAUGGAAUAAUGAAAUAGGACGUUCGAUUCUAUUUUGUUGGUUUCUAGGAUCAACGUAAUGAUUAAUAGGGAUAGUUGGGGGCAUUAGUAUUCAAUUGUCANAGGUGAAAUUCUUGGAUUUAUUGAAGACUAACUACUGCGAAAGCAUUUGCCAAGGAUGUUUUCAUUAAUCAAGAACGAAAGUUAGGGGAUCGAAGACGUAUCGAGAUACCGUCGUAGUCUUUAACCAUAAACUAUGCCGACUAGGGAUCGGGAUGUAGUGUUUAAUUUUUAAUGUAACUCUAUCGG